UACGUAGGGUGCAAGCGUUGUCCGGAAUUAUUGGGCGUAAAGAGCUCGUAGGCGGUUUGUUGCGUCGGCUGUGAAAUCCCGAGGCUCAACCUCGGGUCUGCAGUCGAUACGAGCAAACUAGAGUGUUGCAGGGGAGACUGGAAUUCCUGGUGUAGCGGUGAAAUGCGCAGAUAUCAGGAAGAACACCAAUGGCGAAGGCAGCUCUCUGGGCCGUAACUGACGCUGAGGAGCGAAAGCAUGGGGAGCGAACAGG
rnacentral:rRNA from 1 species